UUGAUGCUUUUUAAACAUCAAAACCCAUGCUUGAUUAACGUCCCUCUGACUUCAUAAUAUUCAACCUUAUCUUCUAGACCAUGGCUAGUAUUUUCAGACCAAACAGUGCCCGAGAUCCAAGCCUCAGAGAUGCUAAACUGGGUUUUACAACAGCCCCAGCUGCUGUCUCAUCUGCAGAACAGUUGCUCUGUGCCUUGGAAGAGCUCUGGCUGGAGACUGUGUGUUUCUCUACUGACAGCUGGAUCAAUAAAACUGCCUGAAAACACAGCAUCUCAUCCUUACUGCAUGAAAAUUUCAGCAUCAUUACAGAACAGCAAACACACUUUCAGUUGCUCAUGCAUCUGGUUGUGCAGGUUUCAAGAGCCCCACUCUGCUCCAUGGACAAAGCUGCCACAGGCCUGCCCAGCCCCAAGGCUACUGACCUCUCACUUGCUGCUCCAGGCUGAGGAUCACUGCCACGGCCUGGUGGAGGAUCAGCAGCUUCGUCUGCGGCUUCUCACUCUUCAGGUGCAGCUGGCACAUGCGGCCGAGCUCCUUGAAUGCCUCGUUAAUGUCUCGCACACGUAAACGCUCCCGGGCAUUAUUUGCCAUUCUUCUCUCCUUUUCUCUUUCUAUUUUCUGCUCUGGGUUUAAAUCCUCAUCUUCGUUAGUACUGCUGCAAGAAAGCAAACGUAACAGUAUAUUGAAAUAUCACUGGUAUUUCAAACAAGUGAUCCUGGUGCUGACUCCAAAUUUUCAGUUGACAAAAUUAAACUUUCUACUUAAUCCAUUUCAUAUUGAAGUAUAUUUGGAUAACUAAGAAAGCAUCAGGUAUCAAUGCUGAAGUUUUCAAGGAAAUUCUUGUUGCUCCUGCCUUUUCCUGAAAAUAAAUGUUCUGCCUGAAGAAUACCCACGGAAUAUUGUCUAGAGCAGGUAAACAUCUCUAGGAAAAGUUGUGGCAACACACUGCUUUUUGAAGCAGGAGAUGUAGCCAAGCCAGUUAAAGAGGUAACUCAAACACCUUUUAAAGUUUUUGCUAUUUUCCAAUACAUCAGCUUAUAUAAAAACGCAUUCAAGGAAUUUUCAAUUUCAUGUGCUUAUUUAAAAGUUUUAUUUUUGUUAAAGACCACACUGGCCAAUUUUAGAACGAUUUUUUCUUCUACUACUCAGUGUAGAGCUAAACAGUUGUAUUUAGAAUUCUUGAACUGCCUCAAAUGAUAUCAAGUUGUAUAGCCUUAAUACGGGUCCGUCCAAUUUAGUCUAAAACUGUGCAAAACCUCUGUUCUACUAAAAUUAACACAAUAAAAUACCAUUAAACAUG